ACCUCUGCAAUAGGCGAAAGCCUGACAGGGUUACUCUGAGUGACUUUCGCUAAGAAAGUCUUUUGACACCUCUAAAAAUGGUGUAGAAUAAGGGGUGGGCAAGUCUGGUGUCAGCCGCCGCGGUAAUACCAGCACCCCGAGUGGUCGGGACGAUUAUUGGGCCUAAAGCAUCCGUAGCCGGCCUUACAAGUCCCCCGUUAAAUCCAACUGCUUAACAGAUGGCUGCGGAGGAUACUAUAAGACUAGGAGGCAGGAGAGGCAAGCGGUACUCAGUGGGUAGGGGUAAAAUCCGUUGAUCCAUUGAAGACCACCAGUGGCGAAGGCGGCUUGCCAGAAUGCGCUCGACGGUGAGGGAUGAAAGCUGGGGGAGCAAACCGGAUUAGAUACCCGGGUAGUCCCAGCUGUAAACGAUGCAGACUCGGUGAUGGACUAGCUUAAUGCUAGUCCAGUGCCGCAGGGAAGCCGUUAAGUCUGCCGCCUGGGUAGUACGGUCGCAAGACUGAAACUUAA
rnacentral:rRNA from 1 species